CCUUUGGGUGAGGUUCCAAGUUUAUAUACAAUGUGCUGUGCAGACAUCAGCAGAGGGCGCUGCCUCUUCAGAUGUGGUUAACAUCUUUCAGGUGACUUAACAGACUCAGUGUGCAGACAGAGGACCUUGUCUGUGAGUGAGGAGUUUGAGGAGAUCCUGCAGGAGAAUUGCCCUGUGAGGUUGCUGCACUCAAGGACCAAGUGUGAGUUCUUCUGUGAGCAUGCUUCCUGACACCUGCUCAGUUCUUGUGCUCCUCCUAAUGCUCAGGAGGAGCAAUGGAGAUGGAAACUCUGUGACCCAGACAGAAGGCCUGGUCACUCUCACAGAGGGGUUGCCUGUAAUGUUGAACUGUACCUAUCAGACUAUUUACACAAGCCCUUUCCUUUUCUGGUACGUGCAGUAUCUCAACGAAGCCCCCCAGCUCCUCCUGAGGAGCUCCACAGACAACAAGAGGACAGAGCACCAAGGGUUCCAGGCCACUCUCCACGAGAGCAGCAGCUCCUUCCAUCUGCAGAAGCCCUCAGCACAGCUGUCAGACUCUGCCCUGUACUACUGUGCUUUGAGACGCACCAUGAGGGAGACUGCAGGGGAAGCUGCACACGAACCAAGGGUGCAGGAGGGCUUAGGGGGGGAGGCCUGUGAGGGAGGCCAUGUGCUUUCAUUAAAGUAG